GUCGCAUUAGCUAGUUGGUGAGGUAACGGCUCACCAAGGCAACGAUGCGUAGCCGACCUGAGAGGGUGAUCGGCCACACUGGGACUGAGACACGGCCCAGACUCCUACGGGAGGCAGCAGUAGGGAAUCUUCCGCAAUGGACGAAAGUCUGACGGAGCAACGCCGCGUGAGUGAUGAAGGCUUUCGGGUCGUAAAACUCUGUUGUUAGGGAAGAACAAGUGCUAGUUGAAUA
rnacentral:rRNA from 1 species